UAUUACUGGGAUGAGGUAAAUUUGUGACCAUAGUUAUAAACUAAAAGGUUUUGGCUGUCAAAAAUAUUCCUCUGGGGGAACGUGUCCCGUAAAAGAUGAUCCGCUUAUAAAAUAACCCUUUCUUUGGUCAGUGUAAAUCCGAUUAAAAACCUGUGAUCCGAGUCCGCUUGUGUUAGAUAAAUUAUUUUCAUAAGUCAGGUCAAUUUGCUGCUUAUGGAAGGGUGAGGAUUCGUUACAUUAUAAAAUUGCAAUGCUAAUUAGUUGUAAAGAUUUAGGACUCAGUAGUAAGUUGGGAUUAUAUCACCUAGCUGAAUUGGAUUUAUUUGG
rnacentral:rRNA from 1 species